rnacentral:rRNA from 1 species
UGGGGAAUCUUGCGCAAUGGGCGAAAGCCUGACGCAGCAACGCCGCGUGGGGGAUGAAGGCUCUCGGGUUGUAAACCCCUUUCAGUAGGGACGAAAUCUGACGGUACCUACAGAAGAAGCCCCGGCCAACUACGUGCCAGCAGCCGCGGUAACACGUAGGGGGCAAGCGUUGUCCGGAUUUAUUGGGCGUAAAGAGCUCGUAGGCGGUUCGGUAAGUCGGGUGUGAAACCUCCAGGCUCAACCUGGAGACGCCACCCGAUACUGCUGUGACUAGAGUCCGGUAGGGGAGCGUGGAAUUCCUGGUGUAGCGGUGAAAUGCGCAGAUAUCAGGAGGAACACCAGCGGCGAAGGCGGCGCUCUGGGCCGGAACUGACGCUGAGGAGCGAAAGCGUGGGUAGCAAACAGGAUUAGAUACCCCCGUAGUCC